rnacentral:misc_RNA from 1 species
GCAGUGUUCUUCAACAUGGACAGCGCUCUUUCUGAGUAAAUGGCAGUUGAUUCCAUUUUACUCCUCAAAUCAUCAAUUUCUUGUUGUGCCUCAUAAAGAUUCUUUUGCAUCAAGUCCUUUUCCUUCUUCAACAAACCAACUUGGCUCUCCAUUUCCUUCUUUUCCUCGAAAAGACCUGCGUGCUCUUUUUUUCUUCUUUGCAGUCUCUUUUACAGUCUCUUCAAUCCUCUUCUUCAUUUCCAGAACUUUAGAGCUCAAACUAAUGCUAUUUGUUUUCUCCUCAUCCAAAUCAACCUGGGCUUUGUCCCUCUCAAGUCUCACUUGCUCAAAAGCAUCUCUGUAAUGGCUAACCUCAGAUGCAAGUUGCUUGUUCUUGUCUUCUUGGUUUUUAAUGGAUUUUUGCAUUGCAGACGUAGCAUCCCUUAAUCCAGCCAGCUCCUUGUGCAACUCCGCAAUUGCACUCUCCUUGCUAACCUUCACAUCAUCAGUCUCUUUUUUCUCUCUCAUUAAUUUCUCAAUCAAUCCAUCCUUAUCUUUCACCUCAAUAUUCAUAGUCUUUAUAAUAUUGUCACUUGAAUGCAUUUCCUCCAUCAACCUCUCAAUGGUUAUGUCCUUCUGUUGCUUCUCUUCCAUCAACACAUCAACCUCCAUUGCUAUCACCUUGGCUUUCUCUAUUGCCUCGUGACAGCUCUUC